rnacentral:misc_RNA from 1 species
AAUUUGUGCCUUGAUGUGAUAUUUGCAUUUGUUGAUUUUUUUUUUCUUUGGACUUGUGAGUUGCCAUUGAUGGGAAGGUCACCUCAUGAUGCCAAACUGUCGCAUUACUCAUUCACAUAUGCAGAUAUGUUCUGCACUGAGUGCAUCUGAAUUCAGUUUGGGGCACAUUAAGUGGUUUUGGGGUAUGGAUCUGUAAAGAUUGUACUUUUUUUUUUUUUGCAAUUUCUA